rnacentral:rRNA from 1 species
GGGCGUAUAGGGCUCGCAGGCGGUUUCUUAAGUCUGAUGUGAAAGCCCCCGGCUCUACCGGGGAGGGUCAUUGGAAACUGGGAAACUUGAGUGCACAAGAGGAGAGUGGAAUUCCACGUGUAGCGGUGAAAUGCGUAGAGAUGUGGAGGAACACCAGUGGCGAAGGCGACUCUCUGGUCUGUAACUGACGCUGAGGAGCGAAAGCGUGGGGAGCGAACAGGAUUAGAUACCCUGGUAGUCCACGCCGUAAACGAUGAGUGCUAAGUGUUAGGGGGUUUCCGCCCCUUAUUGCUGCAGCUAACGCAUUAAGCACUCCGCCUGGGGAGUACGGUCGCAAGACUGAAACUCAAAGGAAUUGACGGGGGCCCGCACAACCGGUGGAGCAUGUGGUUUAUUUCUAAUCAACCCCAAGAACCUUACCAGGUCUUGA